GCAGGUCUGUGCCACAGUGUUGGGCGUUCGGCGGAGGGACCGAGCUGACCGUGCUUGAUCAGCCCACGGUGGCCCCCAUCAUCAAUGUCUUUCCUCCAACCCAAGAAGAGCUAGCCACCAAUAGGGCCACCCUCGUGUGUCUGCUGAGUGGCUUCUACCC